rnacentral:rRNA from 1 species
AUGAUCUUGCGUGUGCGUAGGAAUUUUUUUGAAAUUACUACGUUCCCCAAUAGUGGCCACAAUUAUUAUGCUAGUUUCAUUGAUGCUUAUAGUCGGUUUACUUGGCUUUAUCUUAUUAAGAAAAAGUCUGAUGUGUUUGAUGUUUUUAUACAGUUUCAAGCACACGUUGAGCGUCUCCUUAGCCAGAAAAUUAUUCAUGUUCAAACCGACUGGGGGGUGAAUAUCACAACCUCAACUCAUUUUUUAACAAACUUGGGAUCACACAUCGUGUGUCUUGUCCUCAUACACAUCAGCAGAAUGGGGCCGCUGAACGUAAGCAUCGUCAUCUUGUAG